CCACAAUCUGCAAUUCAAGCGAAUAUUCACAAGGCGUUGGACAACUUUACCCAGGAAACUUUUGAGUCCUGCAGCAAGGAAACUAAAUUCAAAGCAAUAUUAUUUGCACUUUAUCAGCACCAAGAGGGGGCACAUAUAUAAACGGAUUGUACAUGGAUGGUGCACGAUGAGACGUUCAAACAGGAUGUAUCAUAGACUCUCGAUUUAAGGAAUUGUUUCCAUUAUUACCAAUAAUGUAUAUUAGCGCGAUUAUACUGGACAAACGAGAUUUAAAGAAUACGUAUGAAUUGUCCUGUGUAUAAAACACGAUCGCAAGGCCCUGU
rnacentral:misc_RNA from 1 species